CCCUGAAAUCUGGGAGUUUAGAUCCAGAUCUAAACGGAAUGAUGGUCUGCAAAGCAAUUUUGCCAUCCUGCUGAUGUCCUUGUGGAGAGAUCAGAAAGAGAGAAAAAGGCACAAACACUUCAGAAUGACAAGUAUGCUCUUAAUUACACAGUGGCAGGCAUCAAGAGAGAGUAUGAAAUAAGAACCAGUAUGUCUUAAUUUUGAAAAAAAUUAUGAUAUAGAUAAAAUCGAUACUUUUUUCCUAUUCCCCACACAUCAGCACUGCAUGUGUCUCUGUAGUCUCUACUUUUCUCAUUUGGAGACAGAAAAAUCUUUCAAUUAAAAGGAUUGCUACAAAAUCUCAUAUCUAAUUAGCACGUAAUUGUAGGAGGGACACAAACUGUAACUUUGCUCUGCUGGUUUUGGUAGUAGAGAAGCUGCUGCUCUCUGGGCUAUGAUCAAACAGGUUUGUCACCAGGACAGACCCCCCUCUCAACCUCAGCAUCCCCUUGCCAGGGCCACUCCUGGGUCUGGAGGUGGCAGAACCACAUCUUGGAGACACAGAGGUGCACAAGACAAACUCUAAAGAAAGCGCAUCAUCUAUUGGGGGAAAAGGAAGACUCUAAGGGGAAAUUUCCAGAGGAGAUGAAAGGAGGACAGCAGUCUUCCUCGCUGCUUCUCCGAGGGCUCCUAUUCAUACCAGGCUGGGAUUUGCCAGUGGAGAUAACCACUGGUUAAUCAAAUCCAGCUUCCCUGCUCACAAUUGUACUGAAAUUUGCUUUCUGUACAUAGACCAUUUACUCCAGCUGCAAAUCCAUUCUGUUAAGAGGGAACAACCAAGCUAAAAGGCAGCUUACCGUAAUGGAGUGCGGUCUGGCCUUCCCCGUCCUGAAAAAAAGAGUGAGAGAGACUUGAUUUUAGAGACACAGGUAAUAUCGUGGGGACACAAGAAAAUCCCAGUUUUAAGUAAAUAAGCUCAAUCACAGCAAUAUUUAAUUGACUAGAUAAACAGCCCAGGACACCCAGCUACCUGGCAGUUAGGCUUUGAAUCAUCAUCCACCAUCAAUCCAUAUUGAUGGAUAAUCAAUAUCUAUCCACCCGUAAGAGUGCGUGGAUCACGUCAUGACAUGAGUAUAAUUCAGUUCAUAGCGUUAUCACUUCCAGCCCAUAAAAAUGAAGGAUUUCAGUCCUGCGGCCUUACUUUGGGACCCUCGCUAAUCCUGAUGCUUUAGUGCAAGAUGCUCCUGUGCAAGCCCAGCCUCGGCCAGCUACUUGAGAGAAGGGUAAAGCCACGGGGAUGCUGGCACAGCUCCGUGCCCUGCACUCUUCAGCACAGGAGAGCCCACAGGGGAAAACCCCACU
rnacentral:lncRNA from 1 species